AUCCUUGGACCUCAUCAUCGACGGUGAAAAAGAUAUCAGUACUUAUCCGAGUUGUGAGAUUCUCAGCUCGUGAUUACUGAUCCUCUUCCUCUUGCCACCCUGAAGAUUGCCGCGCAGGAUUGGUUUGUGUCGGUAUAUCAGAUCAGUAGUUCUUACAUAAGACUGAAUUGAAAUGUACAAAGAGAUCAGAUCAUCGGGAGUGGAACCGUUCAGAGGAAGAAACCUACCGUAUAGUCAAGUGGACGAAGAUUAUGGUAUCAAUUUUGGAGUGUAAAGUGUGAGCGACUUCUACUGUCCUUGUAUCAU
rnacentral:lncRNA from 1 species